GACGAACGCUGGCGGCGUGCUUAACACAUGCGAGUCGAACGGAAAGGCCUUUUCGGAGGUACUCGAGUGGCGAACGGGUGAGUAACACGUGGGUGAUCUGCCCUGCACUCUGGGAUAAGCCUGGGAAACUGGGUCUAAUACCGGAUAGGACCGCACUUUAGUGUGUGUGGUGGAAAGUUUUUUCGGUGUGGGAUGAGCCCGCGGCCUAUCAGCUUGUUGGUGGGGUAAUGGCCUACCAAGGCGGCGACGGGUAGCCGGACUGAGAGGUUGGUCGGCCACAUUGGGACUGAGAUACGGCCCAGACUCCUACGGGAGGCAGCAGUGGGGAAUAUUGCACAAUGGGCGCAAGCCUGAUGCAGCGACGCCGCGUGGGGGAUGACGGCCUUCGGGUUGUAAACUCCUUUCGCCAGGGACGAAGCGUUUUGUGACGGUACCUGGAGAAGAAGCACCGGCUAACUACGUG
rnacentral:rRNA from 1 species